rnacentral:rRNA from 1 species
CUACGGGGGGCAGCAGCCAGGAAACUUCUACAAUGCGCGCAAGCGUGAUAGAGCAAGUCAGAGUGAUUUUCUAUAAUUGAAAAUCUUUUGUGAGAUUUAAAAAUUCUCACGAAUAAGGACUGGGAAAGACUGGUGCCAGCCGCCGCGGUAAUACCAGCAGUCCAAGUAGCAGCCACUUUUAUUGGGUCUAAAACAUCCGUAGCUUGUUUUGUAAGUCUCUUGUGAAAUCCGGCCUCUCAAGGGUCGGGCAUGCAAGAGAUACUGCUUUACUAGGGACCGGGAGACGUAAGGAGAACGGGACAGGGUACCGGUCAAAUGGGUUGAUCCUGUUUGGACUAACGAGAGCGAAGGCACCUUACGAGAACGGAUCCGACAGUGAGGGAUGAAGGCUAGGGUCGCAAAACGGAUUAGAUACCCUAGUAGUC